CCUACGGGAGGCAGCAGUAGGGAAUCUUCCGCAAUGGACGAAAGUCUGACGGAGCAACGCCGCGUGAACGAUGAAGGCCUUCGGGUCGUAAAGUUCUGUUGUUAGGGAAGAACAAGUGCUAGUUAAAUAAGCUGGCACCUUGACGGUACCUAACCAGAAAGCCACGGCUAACUACGUGCCAGCAGCCGCGGUAAUACGUAGGUGGCAAGCGUUGUCCGGAAUUAUUGGGCGUAAAGCGCGCGCAGGCGGUUUCUUAAGUCUGAUGUGAAAGCCCCCGGCUCAACCGGGGAGGGUCAUUGGAAACUGGGAAACUUGAGUGCAGAAGAGGAAAGUGGAAUUCCAAGUGUAGCGGUGAAAUGCGUAGAGAUUUGGAGGAACACCAGUGGCGAAGGCGACUUUCUGGUCUGUAACUGACGCUGAGGCGCGAAAGCGUGGGGAGCAAACAGGAUUAGAUACCCUGGUAGUCCACGCUGUAAACGAUGAGUGCUAAGUGUUAGAGGGUUUCCGCCCUUUAGUGCUGAAGUUAACGCAUUAAGCACUCCGCCUGGGGAGACGGUCGCAAGACUGAAACUCAAAGGAAUUGACGGCUUGAGAGNGCGAGCGACGACGAGGAGGAGG
rnacentral:rRNA from 1 species